UUUUUCCCUCACAUUUGUGAUUUUCGGACAGUGGGACAACAUGCCCUCUGAUGCUUAUUGAUCUCCCCCUGGAGAUUCCUUUUCACUAUGUACUGUCACUUGGUAUUUGGCCCAUGGUUUCAUCACCCUUGUCCAA